AUACGGAGGAUGCGAGCGUUAUCCGGAUUUAUUGGGUUUAAAGGGUGCGUAGGCUGUGUGUUAAGUCAGGGGUGAAAUGCCGUCGCUCAACGACGGAGCUGCCCUUGAUACUGGCGUGCUGGAGUACGGAUGCCGUUGGAGGCAUGAGUGGGGUAGCGGUGAAAUGCUUAGAUAUCACUCAGAACACCGAUUGCGAAGGCAUCUGACGAAUCCGUCACUGACGCUGAGGCACGAAAGCGUGGGGAUAGAACAGGAUUAGAUACCCUGGUAUUCCACGCCGUAAACGAUGAUGACUAACCGUCGGCGAUAGACAGCCGGUGGCCAAGCGAAAGCGAUAAGUCAUCCACCUGGGGAGUACGUCGGCAACGAUGAAACUCAAAGGAAUUGACGGGG
rnacentral:rRNA from 1 species